rnacentral:rRNA from 1 species
AGUGAACGCUGGCGGUAGGCCUAACACAUGCAAGUCGAACGGCAGCACAGUAAGAGCUUGCUCUUACGGGUGGCGAGUGGCGGACGGGUGAGGAAUACAUCGGAAUCUACUUUUUCGUGGGGGAUAACGUAGGGAAACUUACGCUAAUACCGCAUACGACCUACGGGUGAAAGCAGGGGAUCUUCGGACCUUGCGCGAUUGAAUGAGCCGAUGUCGGAUUAGCUAGUUGGCGGGGUAAAGGCCCACCAAGGCGACGAUCCGUAGCGGGUCUGAGAGGAUGAUCAGCCACACUGGAACUGAGACACGGUCCAGACUCCUACGGGAGGCAGCAGUGGGGAAUAUUGGACAAUGGGCGCAAGCCUGAUCCAGCCAUACCGCGGGGGUGAAGAAGGCCUUCGGGUUGUAAAGCCCUUUUGUUGGGAAAGAAAAGCAGCAGGUUAAUACCCCGCUGUUCUGACGGUACCCAAAGAAUAAGCACCGGCUAACUUCGUG